ACACCCUGACAAACCCGGCCCCCACGCGCAGCCCAAGCCGGCUCCGCGCAGCCGGGAGCUCGCCGGCCGCCGGGCCUCGGCCCCCGGCCGCCAAGGAGAGCGGAGCGGAGCCCGCGCCGCCGGCCGGUCGCCCCGCUCCGGGGGACACUUUAAGGGAAAAACCCCAGCACCCAAUCCCCACGCUUGCACCCCGAGAGUCCCCGGGGAGCGGGAGGUAGCCCCGGAGCCAGCGGGCGCCUGGCUCUGGCCCCAAACUUACCGGGCGCUGCGAGCGCCGCUGCCGCCGCUGGAGGACGCGCCGCCGCCACCGCCGGGUAGGGCAGGCUCGGGCCGGGAGGAGCGCAGCGAGGGCGCCGAGAUCCGCUCGGCUCCGGCUCCUGCUCCGCGCCGGCUGGGGCUGGGGUCACCGCGCUGCGCCGGCGUUGCUCGCUCGCUCGGCCGCCCGAUCGCUGCUCGCCCGCCUGCCGCCCGGCCGCCCGCUCUCCCCGGCGCCCGCCGCCGCCGCUCGCUUUUUUAAUGUCCACAGACAGUGAAAAGGAACUCGGCGUUAGGGGGCUGCCACCGUGUCGGAGGCGAGGCGAGGAAGGGAGCUGGAAUAACAAAGGGAGGUAAUGGGGUAGAUUGGAUACCUCUGGGGUCUUGGAAGAAGCUAUGACUUAUUUACUGUCUACUAUGUGGUGAGUACUGUGGUGGGUCCUCCUAGGUAUUGAGAAUUCAGUUCCCUGAUUGAACUGUCACAUUGUCUUAAGUUAGGUGCCGCUACCAUCCCCCUUUCAGAGGAAACUCAACUGUGAAUGACUUGCCCAAGAUUGGUCAGGAUGGGAACUCGGGCCCCCAUGAACAGAGUUUCCUGUUGUCCCCUCAGCCCUGGCUCUGUUCAUCCAUAGACUGUGUAGCCCCAAGCAAGCUGCUUUCCCCCUCUGAGCCCCUGUAAGGUCCAUGGUGCCAUCAGGACUCACUGGGAACUGUGUGUCCAACAACCUCACCCCCAAAGUCUCAGCCUCACUGGGCCUGGAGAUCUGCUGGUGAGACAAGAGAGGACAGUGCCAUCACUUCCUCGUGGCCCAGAGCUGGAAGAUGCAU
rnacentral:lncRNA from 10 species